CUAUUGGAAAGUAAUUUGAAAUGGUCAGAGACAGGCAUUGUACAGAUGAGAGGAAGUUAUCUUUAUUAAGUAAUCAAUGAUAUCUUUAGAACAUCUGAUACUUCUAAUGCUUUAUCAAAACUAUACAAUCUUAAUACCUGAGAGAAAGCAAUGCAGUGAUUCUAUAAACAGAGAGAAGAGGGAAAGCCAGAAGAGAGGGAGAGGGAUUUAAAUUUAAUUAGCUCUGAAGGCCAUUUCUAUGAUCUUUUAUGUUUUCCUGUGAUCUUUUCUUUAAAAUUGUUCUUUUCAUAAGAAUUUGUGCAUUUUGACAAUGUUUUCCAGUUUUUGAUUCUACUGAUAUGGACUUGUAUGUCUAGGGCAGAUUGGAGAGUGUGUGUAGGUCUUUACCAUAUAUGUGGUGGUGGCGAAGCCUGCUUCCAGAAAGUGCUUUCCUCUGUGAUCUUCCUGGACAUUUCUGCUUGAUGAUGGGGUGGGGAAACUGUAAGAGAUUAUUUUGAGGUCUUUAUUUUUGAAGAACAAGUUUAGCCUUAGUGUUUUGGAUUGUAUUCUUACAGCAUUUAUUCUAAUGACUAACCUUACAUGUCUUUAAUCUCAUGGAAACCUAGUCUGCUUUUUAUAUAUUUAAUUCACUACAUGGUUAAAGCUCUUUCCUGUUCUUUUAUAUGCGUUGUGUCUUUUCUUUACAUUAUAGUUGUUUGACAGAUUUAAUCGUUUAUGCCAGAUUUUGUUCCCUGUUCAAAGUGUGUUUUUGUGCCAGUGAACUGUUAUAAAUUUUUUGUGUAAACAUACCCAUUUGUAUCCUGCCACUUAUAACCUUUUUCUUUUCAUCCUUGUACCAUCUUAA
rnacentral:lncRNA from 1 species